GGGCUAAACAUAUUACCGAAACUGUGGAUGAACCUCUUUAGAGGUUCGUGGUAGGAGAGCGUUCUAAGGGCGGUGAAGUCAGACCGGAAGGACUGGUGGAGCGCUUAGAAGUGAGAAUGCCGGUAUGAGUAGCGAAAGAAGGGUGAGAAUCCCUUCCACCGAAUAUCUAAGGUUUCCUGAGGAAGGCUCGUCCGCUCAGGGUUAGUCGGGACCUAAGCCGAGGCCGAUAGGCGUAGGCGAUGGACAACAGGUAGAGAUUCCUGUACCAGUGCUAAUUGUUUAACCGAUGGGGUGACACAGAAGGAUAGGGAAUCGCACGAAUGGAAAUGUGCGUCCAAGCAGUGAG
rnacentral:rRNA from 1 species